rnacentral:misc_RNA from 1 species
GUUCCGUAGGUGAACCUGCGGAAGGAUCAUUAAUGAGUCUUUGAAGUGGGUUUGAUGCUGGUCUUUCGAGGCAUGUGCUCGCCCUAUUCUCAUCCACUCACACCUGUGCACCUUACGUUUAAGAAGUGGUUGUUGCCUCCCUUCGGGUUGGCAAGUUAGGGAAACCUAGCUAUGGCCCUUCUUUGCGUUACUUUACACAAACUCUUGAAUGUCAUAGAAUGUAUAUUGGCCUACGGGCUUUAAUUUAAAUACAACUUUCAACAACGGAUCUCUUGGCUCUC